rnacentral:misc_RNA from 1 species
GCGGGUACAACGAGGCCCGUGCACUUCUUGUGUCAGACGACCUGUGACGCGUGGAAUUUUCCGGAAGUGAAUUUGACCCAUCUGCCGCAGUGGUGGACUCCAUCUUGUUUUGCGGCCCCAGAAUUCUUCAGCUGGAAGGAUGGCUGCGAACAAUUUCUAUGGAUUCACACAUGGAGGGACGCAGUACGGCGCGAGUCCUGCGGCUUAUCAAAAUGCCCAAACGCCCUAUGCGGUGACGCCUGCUGCCACUGCACCCACAUACUCUUCACAGCGACCAACUACAGGUUACGAGACUAGUUACCAAACUGCUGCGACCGCAGCUGCCCCAGCUGCAUAUGCAGCCGUUGGUGCCGGAACCGCUGCUGCGCCCAAUUACUCUGAUUAUGGAUAUGGCAACCCAGCACAGACUGCGUAUAGUCCAGCCAAGACAUAUUACCAACAGACUACAGCGGCUGCUGCUCCUUAUCCAACACCCGAAACUCUUUAUCAACCUCCAGCAAGACAACCAGCACAAGGAGUCCCCAAAGCGCCUGCCUAUGCAACCACUUACGGAGCCCAACCAGCGCAGCCAAAUGCCACUAACUAUGCUUCAAGUUAUAACACUCCUGCUGUGGUUCCAGCUCAGCCUAAUGCUAAAUCUGCAUACAGCACUAACCAAACCAACUCAAAUGCUGCUUUCACCACCAACUAUUCAGCCACUUCAGUGACGAACCAGACUGCACCCAAGGCUAAGCCUGCAAACGCCACAUAUUCAAACUAUGAUGCAGCUGUUUACAGUGCAGCUACUCUGUAUGCUGCUCAGCAAACAACAAAUCCCUCUGGAACGGCAUCUGCUACUGUUGGUCCUGUAGCAGGAACGGGUGUGGCCCAAGGUGCGGGCAAUGUUGUUAACAAGUUACAGUCUUCAGGCACAACCAAUACUAUGCCUGGUGGAAAUACAUCAACGUGGCAGAAUAAUUAUCGCAAGGGACCUGUCGGUGGUGGACUGAAACGAUCAUUCAAUCCUAAGCAGCCUCCUAAACAGCAGCAAGUUCACUAUUGUGAUGUUUGCAAGAUCAGUUGUGCUGGCCCUCAGACUUAUCGAGAACAUUUGGAGGGUCAGAAGCACAAGAAGAAAGAUGCUAUGCUGAAAGGAGGUGCAACAACCACCAAUAGCCAAAAUGCUUUGAAGUGCGAGCUCUGUGAUGUUGAUUGUACUGGCUCUGAUGCUUAUGCUGCGCACAUCCGUGGUGCAAGACAUCAGAAGGUGGUUAAACUGCACACGCGAUUGGGAAAGCCGAUACCCUCGACGGAUCCGGUUGUUCAAGGGAAAGUAGGAACCAGUGCCAAGGUCGCCGCAUCAAAUUCUAACUCAGGUACACCAGCCAGGAAGCCUGUGGCAAUUGCCAAUCCAACCUCAACUACACCAAAGAUCAACUUUAAUCCUUCUGCUAAUUCAUCUGCAUCUGCUGCCGCUUCAUCUUCUGGAAAUGUUGAGGCUAAAGAAGAUGAUGAUGAAGUGGUGGACAAAGAUGUCCAGCCUGUUGGUCAAGAUUAUAUUGAAGAAAUAAAAAAUGAAGAAGGGAAAUCUACUUCAUUCAUGUGCAAACUAUGCGAGUGUCGUUUUAACGAUCCCAAUGCUAAAGAAAUGCACAUGAAAGGCCGUAGACAUAGACUUCAGUACAAGAAAAAAGUAAAUCCUGAGUUAGUGGUUGAAGUGAAGCCUUCUCUGCGGCAACGGAAGGGAAUGGAAGACAAGCAGCGUCGUAUGCAUUUCAGAGAGGACUUCAUGAGGCGACGCGAUGAAGAAAGGAUGCGUGGUAUGAUGAUGGAAGAGGAAGAACGUAUUUACUGGGAGGAGAGACGGAGGUAUGAAGAGGAAAUGGAGUACUUCGAAUGGGUCCGGCGGUUCGGUCGGGAUCAUCGUCCUCUAGGUCCUCCGGGUCCUCCCAGAUUCGGUCCCCCGGGUCCUGGCAUGAUGAUGCCUCCCUUCUUUGGGCCAAACCCGAUGAGACGCCCAGAUUCAAUGGAAGACCGCCAUGUUCUGGCUCGUCACACGGAAAUAUAUCCUAGCGAAGAGGAGUUGUCCGCUGUACACAAGAUUGUCUCACAUUCGGAGAAAGCUCUGAAGUUUGUAUCAGAUCACUUGACUGAAAUUUCUCAAGCUGCUGGAACCAAACCUGGUGCAAAGCCGGCAACAAAACCAGUCCAAGCUAAAACCCCUACCAUUGUUAAAACAGAAUCGGGUGCAUCUCCAUCUACAUCUGCACCUGCUCCAAGCACCCCUCCAACACCAACCGCCACUCCAGCAGCGUCCGCUGGCACACCACCUGCAACCAAACCUGUUGUUAAGAAAGAAGAUGGCAGUGAUGGCAGUCUGUUUUCAUUCCAGCAAGGAAAGGAAGAGGGAUCAACUGGGCAUCGCUUGCUGAAAGGCGUGAUGCGCGUCGGCUCUCUUGCAAAGGGCCUUUUGCUUCAUGGUGACACUUCUGUGAACCUUGUUGUCUUGUGUGCAGAGAAACCAACAAGGACUUUGCUGUAUAAGGUUUCAGAGAACCUGCCAAAGCAGCUGCUGAUUGUUGCUCCAGAAGACAAAUACAGUGUGAAAUGCAAGCCUGAAGAUGCUGCUCUCGUUGUGAUUGGCGCCAAAGAGCCUCACAUUACUGUUACCAUCACUCUAACUUCACCCGUCAUGAGGGAACAGCUUGUGGCCCCUACUCCCAGUGAGGCAGCUGGUGGCUAGAGCAACACAGCUUCAGAGUUGCGUGAUGAUUAUUCGCAUACUACGAGACUUGUGUCAGAGAGUUCCCACCUGGGCGCCUCUUCACAAUUGGCCGAUGGAACUUCUUGUUGAAAAAGUACUAAGUUCAUCACCA